rnacentral:misc_RNA from 1 species
UGGUUCUGGCAUCGAUGAAGAACGCAGCGAAAUGCGAUAAGUAAUGUGAAUUGCAGAAUUUAGUGAAUCAUCGAAUCUUUGAACGCACAUUGCGCCCUUUGGUAUUCCGAGGGGCAUGCCUGUUCGAGCGUCAUUACAACCCUCAAGCUCUGCUUGGUAUUCAGCACUGUCUCCGUGGCAGGUUGUAAAAGUAGUGGCGGCCGGUAGCUGGCUCCAAGCGUAGUAAAUCUCUCGCUACGGGACCUGCUAUCGACCUGCUAUUUGACCUGCUAGCAGGUCUUUUUAUACAGGUUGACCUCGGAUCAGGUAGGGAUACCCGCUGA